rnacentral:rRNA from 1 species
AACUAUAACGGUCCUAAGGUAGCGAAAUUCCUUGUCAGGUAAGUUCUGACCCGCAUGAAAGGCGUAAUGAUUUGGGCACUGUCUCAACAGCCCGCCCGGCGAAAUUGUAGUACCGGUGAAGAUGCCGGUUACCCGCGACAAGACGGAAAGACCCCAUGGAGCUUUACUGUAGCCUAAUAUUGGGUUUCGAUGUUGCAUGCACAGGAUAGAUGGGACUCUGGGAAGUGAUCGCUUUGGCGGUCAUGGAGAGGACGUUGGGAUACCAUCCUUGCGAUAUUGGAAUUCUAACCUGCGGCUCUGAAUCGAGUCGGGGGACAUUGUUAGGUGGGCAGUUUGACUGGGGCGGUCGCCUCCUAAAGAGUAACGGAGGCGUUCAAAGGUUCGCUCAGCUUGAACGGAAAUCAAGCAAAAGAGUGCAAACGCAGAAGCGAGCCUAACUGCGAGACUGACGGGUCGAGCAGUAACGAAAGUUGGAGUUAGUGAUCCGGUGGUAUGUGAGUGGAAAUGCCAUCGCUCAACGGAUAAAAGCUACCCUGGGGAUAACAGGCUGAUCUCCCCCAAGAGUCCACAUCGACGGGGAGGUUUGGCACCUCGAUGUCGGCUCAUCGCAUCCUGGGGCUGAAUUCGGUCCCAAGGGUUUGGCUGUUCGCCAAUUAAAGCGGUACGCGAGCUGGGUUCAGAACGUCGUGAGACAGUUCGGUCCCUAUCUGUCGUGGGCGUAGGAUAUUUGCAAGGAGCUGUCCCUAGUACGAGAGGACCGGGAUGGACGCACCUCUGGUGCACCAGUUGUCACGCCAGUGGCACAGCUGGGCAGCUAUGUGCGGAACGGAUAAACGCUGAAAGCAUCUAAGCGUGAAGCCGCCCUUAAGAUAAGAUCUCCUUUAAGACCCCUUGUAGACUACGAGGUUGAUAGGUCUGAUGUGUAAGCAUGGUGACAUGUUUAGCUUGCAGAUACUAAUCGGUCGUUCGCUUUUCCUU